CGAUUCUGAGGCCUGAGGCAGGCAGUUGUGGUGGUGGUUUUUUGACUAGGCUCAAACAGUUGUGGAUAACAAUCAGAAGUGAAAGAGUUCUGGAUUCUUGGCAGUGAGGAAACUUCCCUCUAAUAGUGGAAGUCAGUAAAGUGCAAAACUCAACCCUCGAUGAAACUGAUCUUUUCUACAAAAAUUGACACAAGCAGAUGCUGAGAGGCUCACAAUUUAUGAGAAUUGGAGUCUUCCCUGCCCUACAAAUUUACAAAGGGCCUGCAAUAUGAUUACCGACAGCUGUGCAGAGGCCUGAUAAAUCACAUCAAGGAAUGGAAUUAGUGGGAAAAUAAACACUGG